AAGGGGCUUCGGCCCUGAGUAGAGUGGCGAACGGGUGAGUAACACGUGGGUGAUCUACCUUUGAGUGGGGGAUAACGUUCCGAAAGGAGCGCUAAUACCGCAUGACGUUCCGGGUUUGAAGACCUGGAAACCAAAGUCGGGGACCGCAAGGCCCGGCGCUUGGAGAGGAGCCCGCGCCUGAUUAGCUAGUUGGUGGGGUAAUGGCUCACCAAGGCGACGAUCAGUAGCCGGCCUGAGAGGGCGGACGGCCACACUGGGACUGAGACACGGCCCAGACUCCUACGGGAGGCAGCAGUGGGGAAUUGUUCGCAAUGGGCGCAAGCCUGACGACGCAACGCCGCGUGGAGGAUGAAGGUCUUCGGAUUGUAAACUCCUGUUGACCGGGAAGAACGGGCCCUGACCUAAUACGUCGGGGCAGUGACGGUACCGGUUGAGGAAGCCACGGCUAACUCUGUGCCAGCAGCCGCGGUAAUACAGAGGUGGCAAGCGUUGUUCGGAAUUACUGGGCGUAAAGGGGCGCGUAGGCGGCCUUCUAAGUCGGACGUGAAAUCCCCAGGCUUAACUUGGGAACUGCGUCUGAUACUGGAAGGCUUGAGUGCGGAAAAGGGAUGUGAAAUUCCAGGUGUAGCGGUGAAAUGCGUAAAUUUCUGGAGGAACACCGGUUGGCGAAGGCGGCAUCCUGGACCCGACACUGACGCUGAGGCGCGAAAGCCAGGGGAGCAAACGGGAUUAA
rnacentral:rRNA from 1 species